rnacentral:rRNA from 1 species
AUUGAACGCUGGCGGCAUGCUUUACACAUGCAAGUCGAACGGCAGCGCGGGCUUCGUCCUGGCGGCGAGUGGCGAACGGGUGAGUAAUACAUCGGAACGUGCCCAGUCUUGGGGGAUAGCUCGGCGAAAGCCGGAUUAAUACCGCAUACGACCUGAGGGUGAAAGCGGGGGAUCUUCGGACCUCGCGCUAUUUGAGCGCCCGAUGGCAGAUUAGCUAGUUGGUGGGGUAAAGGCCUACCAAGGCGACGAUCUGUAGCUGGUCUGAGAGGACGACCAGCCACACUGGGACUGAGACACGGCCCAGACUCCUACGGGAGGCAGCAGUGGGGAAUUUUGGACAAUGGGCGAAAGCCUGAUCCAGCAAUGCCGCGUGUGUGAUGAAGGCCUUCGGGUUGUAAAGCACUUUUGGCGGGAACGAAAAGGACUGUGCCAAUACCACGGUUCGAUGACGGUACCCGCAGAAUAAGCACCGGCUAACUACGUG